AGAAGAUCCGCCAUUAUUAGGUUAUAGUGUAGACAUUGACAGUUUUUGAACCUUUGUGGAGCAGAAGUGCACCAUGGCUUGCCACAAUGUCACAAUGGGUCCUUGGAGAGCCGCUGGUGUUGACUUGUUGCCUGUCUCCUCUCUGCGGCAAAACUCCACAAAUACUCUACUCACCAAGUUCCAGAGGGAGAGGAUCACCAGCCACCAUCGGCCAUACUAAAGGAAGUGGCUCUAUGUAGGGGUGGAACAUGACAACUGAACCAGCUGGGACACACCUAGCCAACUGACUCCCUUGGACUGUGGCCUCACUGUGACCCGAGAGGAGGUUGCCACUCAACACUGAGGUCACACGGUUCCCUUUCUUAUGCAUGUCAGUGGUGUGGUGUGUGGUGUGUUUAGGUUUGGUUAGGUUAGGUGGGUUAGGUUGGGUUGGGUAAGUUUUUGAGGCAGUUUUGCAUGUUUGGAGGGUAUUUUUAAAAAUUUUAGCAUGUUUUAAGGGCAUUUU